GACCCGUGAACCACAAAACUGCUUGUUAUUUCAAUAUAUUACGCACUAAAAGAAGCAAAUAUUAUCUUUACAAUAUUUCAAUUAAAUACUAAAUAAUGUAGGGUUUGAAAGUUGAUUACUAGGUGUUCAUGGGUGAGGGUCAUCCAUUUGGAGCGCCAUGAUAGGUUGCUCUAUCUUCCUGGUGGUUGUUAGUCUCUUUUCAUCAUGCACAAUAGGCCUGCAACCCAAUCAACCCAGUUUGCAUUUUGGUCCGACCCAAUCCAACCCGGCUUACUAGACAGAAACCCCGCAUUGACCCGACCUGAACCGACUUUACUGAUUUCCUUUUAAGCUUUAACGGAGUACUUGAAUCUCAAAAUGGGAUUUUUUUGUCAAAGCAUUUGAUAUGGGUUUUAUGGGAUUCCUGGAUGGUGCUUGGGCUGAGCUGAUCCUCACGGCUGAUGCAAGCAAGCUUUGCUUUUGUGGAACAAGUUGAAGCCAGAGACGAUGCUAAGAAAGCGGUCAUUCUAUAUUCGUUUUCCGAGAAACCUGACUUGAGCUCCCUAGCAAAUUGGAGACUUGGAGUGUAUCAAACUACUUGAUUCUUACAUCCCACGGCCGCAAGAUUUUCCUUGUGGUUGAACCACGGAUCAACAAUCCGUAUAACACAUGAGGCUCCAUUGUGUUUUAAAUCGACUGCAAGUGGUAAUGACAACAGAGAAAUGGGGAGGGAUGGCAGCUAGGGUUUGAGAUCAACUGGUAAACGUGUAAUCGAUUUCAGCAGGUUCGACCCGCAAGCUAUUACAAGCCGCUUUUUCGGGUCGGGCCGGGUCGGUCCUUGCGGAUGGACCGGGUCACAACUUUAUUUGCACAGGCCUAACGCACAACAUUAAUGAUAUAUAUUGAUUGAGUUGUCUGUUUAGAUACUACAUGAAUUACAAUAAUUGUAGUAAGUUUCUUCAAAAGUUGAACACUAAGGUAAAAAAUGUGAAAAACUCAAAUGUUGAUUUUGCAAUUAACCAUUUUUCCUUAAGCAUGCACUUCAUUAAUUUAAAUAAUUGAGAUCCAUGACUGGGUGGACCUUCUGAAUU